rnacentral:rRNA from 1 species
GACGAACGCUGGCGGCGUGCCUAAUACAUGCAAGUAGAACGCUGAAGGAGGAGCUUGCUUCUCUGGAUGAGUUGCGAACGGGUGAGUAACGCGUAGGUAACCUGCCUGGUAGCGGGGGAUAACUAUUGGAAACGAUAGCUAAUACCGCAUAAGAGUAGAUGUCGCAUGACAUUUGCUUAAAAGGUGCAAUUGCAUCACUACCAGAUGGACCUGCGUUGUAUUAGCUAGUUGGUGGGGUAACGGCUCACCAAGGCGACGAUACAUAGCCGACCUGAGAGGGUGAUCGGCCACACUGGGACUGAGACACGGCCCAGACUCCUACGGGAGGCAGCAGUAGGGAAUCUGCGGCAAUGGACGGAAGUCUGACCGAGAAACGCCGCGUGAGUGAAGAAGGUUUUCGGAUCGUAAAGCUCUGUUGUAAGAGAAGAACGAGUGUGAGAGUGGAAAGUUCACACUGUGACGGUAUCUUACCAGAAAGGGACGGCUAACUACGUG